CUCGUAGGCGGUUCGUCGCGUCCGGUGUGAAAGUCCAUCGCUUAACGGUGGAUCCGCGCCGGGUACGGGCGGGCUUGAGUGCGGUAGGGGAGACUGGAAUCCCCGGUGUAACGGUGGAAUGUGUAGAUAUCGGGAAGAACACCAAUGGCGAAGGCAGGUCUCUGGGCCGUCACUGACGCUGAGGAGCGAAAGCGUGGGGAGCGAACA
rnacentral:rRNA from 1 species